rfam:Camelus ferus unplaced genomic scaffold scaffold1519, whole genome shotgun sequence.
AGGGAUAUAGCUCAGUGGUAGAGCACAUGUUUGGCAGGCAUGAGGUCCUGGGUUCAGUCCCCGAUGCCUCUG